GGGUCCAUCUUUCCUAGAUCAACCUUCUGAGAACUAUUCCAAUUUGCAGUCCUAUUGGAUCUAUAUCUUGAGAAAUAAAUUAAAAAGCUUUUCCCUCC
rnacentral:lncRNA from 1 species